rnacentral:rRNA from 1 species
CAGUCGCCGCGGGAAUACGGAGGGCGCGAGCGUUACCCGGAUUUACUGGGCGUAAAGGGCGUGUAGGCGGCCUGGGGCGUCCCAUGUGAAAGGCCACGGCUCAACCGUGGAGGAGCGUGGGAUACGCUCAGGCUAGAGGGUGGGAGAGGGUGGUGGAAUUCCCGGAGUAGCGGUGAAAUGCGCAGAUACCGGGAGGAACGCCGAUGGCGAAGGCAGCCACCUGGUCCACUUCUGACGCUGAGGCGCGAAAGCGUGGGGAGCAAACCGGAUUAGAUACCCGGGUAGUCCCUGUCUCUUAUAC